AUUAGGUAUAUAUAUUAAGAAAAAAGAAAAAAAAAUGGAAGAUGGGUAAACCGGAAACAGUAUUUUCUCAUAUAGAACAUAUGUAUUAUGGGCGUACUAAUAUAUCCGACGCAAUAGAAUACGAGUACGAUACGCGAGUAUAUUGGUGGUACCUAUCCUACACAUAUAAUAUCGGAGUGCCCGGGAGAAAUACACGGUUUUUAUAUAUAUCGUAUAUAAAUCUCGGCGAGACUAUUGUAAAUUGUUUUUUUUUUUUCUCUAGCCGAGAAAAGUGUAUUUCGCAUUUUUUUUUUUUAUAUACAUAUAUCGAAUAUCCGUAUGUAUAUAUAUAUAUAUAUAUAUAUAUAUAUUAUGCGACACACGUACGCGUAGUGUUAUAACAUAUAUAUAUAUGGGUAGGCACGUUAAUAAAAAUAUAUAUGAAAUGCGCGAUACACUUUUGAUUACGGUCUGAGGAAUACAAUUAUUUUCGUAUGCUCGCAUCAAACUUCGCCCACAAGAGUAAAACGGUAACAAUAACGCAUUCCGUAUAACGUACAUAAUAUUACAUAGACGGAUAAAACAUGUGACGUUUGCUUACGGUUACGGGUUAGGUAAGGACAUAAUAUUUUACGAUCACAAUACGUAUGGUAUAUAAGGUAUAAAUAGCACGUGCAUCAUAAUCUAAUAGUUUCACCGGUGGUUCCGCGUUGAAUUUUCAAUAUCAUUUUUUUUCUUCUCGUAUUUUGUCGUUGCCCGUUCGAGAAAUUAAUAAUCUUUUUGUGAAAAACGUAUGCUAUUCGGCGAACAGAUACCUAUUUAGUCCGUUUCAAAUAUUAUACAUUUUCGCCCAGCAAACAGCGUGCGCAAAAAUUCUCUAUAGGCGUUUCGAAUGAUAAUUCGUCUCCCUUCCCGUCUCUCCCAAUAUGCUUGUAUACAUGUUUCAAUAUACAUUUUAAACUUCCAUACGAUAACGGCAUCCGAUCACCUUAACAAAAUAUCGGAUGGGAGAAUUCAACGCGGAGAUAACAUUAUUAUUGAGUGUGAUACCCUGUCUAUGUCUAUGUCUAUGUCGUACGAACAAACGUAAAAAAGACAAUUUCACGUUUAUCAGAGAUAAGAUUGUGCCGUUGGCAGGGCCGGUGUUACGACAUCCGAGGCCCUGGAUAAGUUAAUUUUUGCGAGUUUUUUUUUUUUAUAGCGUAUCACUCCUCUCAUCUUAUAAUUGCGAUAAUAGUGCGGACGUUGUACAGAUACCGUUCUCGUUAUCUGUAUAUUUGAUAAUGGGUCAGUCAGGCAUGGAUUCAGAGGAAAGAUCUGGGAGGGGGGGCAACAAUCUUUUUACAACGAAUACAAGUACAUUGUAAUAUAAUAUAUUGAUAUACAUAUUUGUGGUUGGAAUAUAGUGAUGUCGGAAUCUUUAUAAAAAAAAAUGGAGAAAUAAUAUGUCUGGAGGGGCCUGAGCCUCUAGACCCCCUCCCCUCGAUCCAACCCUGAGAGGUCAGUUCACUCUAACAGUGUUAAAACCAACAGCGCAAUAUCG